GAUGAACGCUAGCUACAGGCUUAACACAUGCAAGUCGAGGGGCAGCACUAGGUAGCAAUACUGAGGUGGCGACCGGCGCACGGGUGCGUAACGCGUAUCCAACCUUCCCGAUACUCUUGGAUAGCCUUCCGAAAGGGAGAUUAAUACAAGAUGGUGUUUCACUUUCGCAUGUUAUUGAAACUAAAGAUUUAUCGGUAUCGGAUGGGGAUGCGUGACAUUAGAUAGUAGGCGGGGUAACGGCCCACCUAGUCUACGAUGUCUAGGGGUUCUGAGAGGAAGGUCCCCCACACUGGAACUGAGACACGGUCCAGACUCCUACGGGAGGCAGCAGUGAGGAAUAUUGGUCAAUGGGCGCGAGCCUGAACCAGCCAAGUAGCGUGAAGGAUGACUGCCCUACGGGUUGUAAACUUCUUUUGUUUGGGAAUAAAACACCUUACGUGUAGGGUCUUGUAUGUACCGUAUGAAUAAGCAUCGGCUAACUCCGUGCCAGCAGCCGCGGUAAAAGU
rnacentral:rRNA from 1 species